rnacentral:rRNA from 1 species
GCUGCAUCUUAUGUACUAAGGUAGCACAAUAAAUUGUCCUCUAAUUAAGGAAUAGAAUGAAUGAAAAAACGCAUUAAUAUAUCAUCCUUAUUUAAAUCAAAUAUAAACUAAAAUUAAAGUUAAAAUUCUUUAAUAAAAAAGAAAGACGACAAGACCCUAAUAAACUUGAUUAUAAAAAUUUAACUGGGGCAGUAAAAUUACAAAUUCUAAUACAUUCACAUAGAUAAAAUAAGCUAUAAACUAAUUAAACUAAAAGUUACUAUAGGGAUAACAGCACAAUUAUUCUCAAGAGCACAAAUCCAAAGAAUAGAUUAUGACCUCGAUGUUGAAUUAUUUUCCCAAAAAUGAGCAAACUCAUUUAAAUGAAGGUCUGUUCGACC